GGCAGCAGUGAGGAAUAUUGGUCAAUGGGCGAGAGCCUGAACCAGCCAAGUCGCGUGAGGGAAGACGGUCCUACGGAUUGUAAACCUCUUUUGUCGGGGAGCAAUAAAGCGUACGCGUACGCAGAUGCGAGUACCCGAAGAAAAAGCAUCGGCUAACUCCGUGCC
rnacentral:rRNA from 1 species